AGUUGGCUGAUAAGCUAUCACGUGGCUUGUGUGUGGUAAUAUGAGCUCCUUGACUGCAUUUUAAUGAUCUGAGCUAAUGUAAUCACUUAGGAUUCCCACGAACUCUGCCACCAGGCAUACAUCACCCAUGCAGAAUAGAAUGAGUCCUUUCAGAUGACUUCAAAAUCAUCUCUGAAUGCUGUACACAACGCUGGUGGAAUAAUUUGUGAACUGAGCCAUCAAAGAUUUUUUAUCAGCUCUGCUGCAUAGGAAAAGGGAAAUGCUACAGCAUACUACCAGACAUGUUGCAAAAUAUUAAAGACAAUAAUACGGUGAUCAAAGCAAAUAUGCUACAGAAGAGGAUAAUCACACCAGGCAACACAAUAUAGACAAUAUCGGAUACAGGGAAUGAGGAGACUGAUAGAACUAGACAUGAAGAAGGGCAGAUAGCAUAAGAGUAAAUGGCAACAUUGGUAACAGGGUAACGUGUCAGUGAUUCUGCCACAAAAUUUUGACCCCCAGACCCAGCAGUCAUCUCCACCUCUUGGACUGCCAUUUUUGGCACCAUAUAGCACAGUGAGAAUGGAGACCGAAAUCACACUACUGCGGAUGCCACCACCAGUUCCGCAGUCAGAGCAGAUGUCCAUGGAGACGCCACCUCCAGACACCCACCAUAGUGCACCUGGGAUUUUGCCCGCUGUCAUCUUGAGCACACCAUCUGUGUCCCUGGAUGUGGGUGUCCACUCUGUGGCCAGUUUUUCAGCCAGUGUUCCCGAUUACUCUCAAUGCAUGUACUAGUGCGCAGACAGGGAGCUGCCGUCAGCUGUCACUACAGCCAAUGUCCGCUCACGUACAUCCACACUCCCUAUGCCUUUGUCAUCUGACCCAUGACUACAAGAUGACAGUGCAGAGAUUUGGAAGGAGGCAGGAGGAAUGUGGUGUCAUCCAAAGAGUAUGGUCCCAUGUUAAAGUUGGUACCUCACAACGGAACCACAAACUAAAGACAGUUGCUGCCGGAUGCAACUACAAAUGAGAGACAUUGAUGAAGACAAACUCUCAAGACAUUCCAUACAUCACUGCUGCUGGAAAUCUACUUAUGUCAGAGUGCAGUGCCACUUAUCCCACUCUGAUAGCUAGCUCGGAUGGUAGCCUCAUCGUAGUACAGAUCCAGGAAUGAGCUAGUAUCAUUAGUCAUAAUAGUGCACUUAGGUCCAGGGUAAAGUGAUUUUUGACUGUCAUGUUAAACUAAGAACAAUUCUAGGUAGAACAAACAUUCAGUACAAGAACUAAAAACGUUUGCAACACUGCAGUACUUUUAUU